rnacentral:rRNA from 1 species
UACGUAGAGUACAAGCGUUAUCCGGAUUUAUUGGGCGUAAAGCGUAUCGCAGGUGGAAGUACACGUGACGGGUGUAAGCCGGCAGCUCAACUGUCGAACUGCUCGUCAUACGAUACUUCUUGAGUAUGUUGGAGGGAACUGGAAUUCUUUGUGGAGGGGUGAAAUCCGUAGAUACAAAGAGGAACGCCAAGGGUGAAGACAAGUUCCUACGGCAUUACUGACACUCAUGAACGACAGCUAGGGGAGCAAAAGGG